rnacentral:rRNA from 1 species
GUCGAACGGUAACAGGAAGAAGCUUGCUUCUUUGCUGACGAGUGGCGGACGGGUGAGUAAUGUCUGGGAAACUGCCUGAUGGAGGGGGAUAACUACUGGAAACGGUAGCUAAUACCGCAUAACGUCGCAAGACCAAAGAGGGGGACCUUCGGGCCUCUUGCCAUCGGAUGUGCCCAGAUGGGAUUAGCUAGUAGGUGGGGUAACGGCUCACCUAGGCGAUGAUCCCUAGCUGGUCUGAGAGGAUGACCAGCCACACUGGAACUGAGACACGGUCCAGACUCCUACGGGAGGCAGCAGUGGGGAAUAUUGCACAAUGGGCGCAAGCCUGAUGCAGCCAUGCCGCGUGUAUGAAGAAGGCCUUCGGGUUGUAAAGUACUUUCAGCGGGGAGGAAGGGAGUAAAGUUAAUACCUUUGCUCAUUGACGUUACCCGCAGAAGAAGCACCGGCUAACUCCGUGCCAGCAGCCGCGGUAAUACGGAGGGUGCAAGCGUUAAUCGGAAUUACUGGGCGUAAAGCGCACGCAGGCGGUUUGUUAAGUCAGAUGUGAAAUCCCCGGGCUCAACCUGGGAACUGCAUCUGAUACUGGCAAGCUUGAGUCUCGUAGAGGGGGGUAGAAUUCCAGGUGUAGCGGUGAAAUGCGUAGAGAUCUGGAGGAAUACCGGUGGCGAAGGCG